GCCGGGAUGGUCUAGUGGUUAUGACGUCUGCCUUACACGCUAAGAUCGCGAUUUCAAUCCUCGCUCCUGGUA
rfam:Perkinsus marinus ATCC 50983 gcontig_1104296532436, whole genome shotgun sequence.